UCGAGGAUCUUCGGCAAUGAGCGCAAGCUUGACCGAGCGACGCCGCGUGCGCGAUGAAGGCCUCCGGGUUGUAAAGCGCUUUAGGGGGGGAGAAAAGCCGCAAGGUGUGAUCUAUCCCCAAAAUAAGCACGGGCUAAGUUCGUGCCAGCAGCCGCGGUAAGACGAACCGUGCGAACGUUGUUCGGAAUCACUGGGCUUAAAGGGAGCGUAGGCGGGCUAUCAAGUCUGGGGUGAAAUGCCGCGGCUCAACCGUGGAACUGCCUCAGAUACUGACGGCCUCGAGGAAGAUAGGGGCAUGCGGAACUGUGAGUGGAGCGGUGAAAUGCGUUGAUAUUCACAGGAACUCCGGUGGCGAAAGCGGCGUGCUGGAUCUUUUCUGACGCUGAGGCUCGAAAGCUAGGGGAGCAAACGG
rnacentral:rRNA from 1 species